UCUCAAGAAGCAGGACACAUUACGAUUUA
rnacentral:piRNA from 1 species